CGGCGUCGAGCGGCGGACGGGUGAGUAAUGCCUGGGAAAUUGCCCUGAUGUGGGGGAUAACCAUUGGAAACGAUGGCUAAUACCGCAUAAUAGCUUCGGCUCAAAGAGGGGGACCUUCGGGCCUCUCGCGUCAGGAUAUGCCCAGGUGGGAUUAGCUAGUUGGUGAGGUAAGGGCUCACCAAGGCGACGAUCCCUAGCUGGUCUGAGAGGAUGAUCAGCCACACUGGAACUGAGACACGGUCCAGACUCCUACGGGAGGCAGCAGUGGGGAAUAUUGCACAAUGGGCGCAAGCCUGAUGCAGCCAUGCCGCGUGUGUGAAGAAGGCCUUCGGGUUGUAAAGCACUUUCAGUCGUGAGGAAGGUAGUGUGUUUAAUAGAUGCAUUAUUUGACGUUAGCGACAGAAGAAGCACCGGCUAACUCCGUGCCAGCAGCCGCGGUAAUACGGAGGGUGCGAGCGUUAAUCGGAAUUACUGGGCGUAAAGCGCAUGCAGGUGGUGUGUUAAGUCAGAUGUGAAAGCCCGGGGCUCAACCUCGGAAUUGCAUUUGAAACUGGCAGACUAGAGUACUGUAGAGGGGGGUAGAAUUUCAGGUGUAGCGGUGAAAUGCGUAGAGAUCUGAAGGAAUACCGGUGGCGAAGGCGGCCCCCUGGACAGAUACUGACACUCAGAUGCGAAAGCGUGGGGAGCAAACAGGAUUAGAUACCCUGGUAGUCCACGCCGUAAACGAUGUCUACUUGGAGGUUGUGGCCUUGAGCCGUGGCUUUCGGAGCUAACGCGUUAAGUAGACCGCCUGGGGAGUACGGUCGCAAGAUUAAAACUCAAAUGAAUUGACGGGGGCCCGCACAAGCGGUGGAGCAUGUGGUUUAAUUCGAUGCAACGCGAAGAACCUUACCUACUCUUGACAUCCAGAGAACUUUCCAGAGAUGGAUUGGUGCCUUCGGGAACUCUGAGACAGGUGCUGCAUGGCUGUCGUCAGCUCGUGUUGUGAAAUGUUGGGUUAAGUCCCGCAACGAGCGCAACCCUUAUCCUUGUUUGCCAGCGAGUCAUGUCGGGAACUCCAGGGAGACUGCCGGUGAUAAACCGGAGGAAGGUGGGGACGACGUCAAGUCAUCAUGGCCCUUACGAGUAGGGCUACACACGUGCUACAAUGGCGCAUACAGAGGGCGGCCAACUUGCGAAAGUGAGCGAAUCCCAAAAAGUGCGUCGUAGUCCGGAUUGGAGUCUGCAACUCGACUCCAUGAAGUCGGAAUCGCUAGUAAU
rnacentral:rRNA from 1 species